rnacentral:rRNA from 1 species
GAUGAACGCUGGCGGCGUGCCUAAUACAUGCAAGUCGAGCGAACGGACGAGAAGCUUGCUUCUCUGAUGUUAGCGGCGGACGGGUGUGUAACACGUGGAUAACCUACCUAUAAGACUGGGAUAACUUCGGGAAACCGUAGCUAAUACCGGAUAAUAUUUUGAACCGCAUGGUUCAAAAGUGAAAGACGGUCUUGCUGUCACUUAUAGAUGGAUCCGCGCUGCAUUAGCUAGUUGGUAAGGUAACGGCUUACCAAGGCAACGAUGCAUAGCCGACCUGAGAGGGUGAUCGGCCACACUGGAACUGAGACGCGGUCCAGACUCCUACGGGAGGCAGCAGUAGGGAAUCUUCCGCAAUGGGCGAAAGCCUGACGGAGCAACGCCGCGUGAGUGAUGAAGGUCUUCGGAUCGUAAAACUCUGUUAUUAGGGAAGAACAUAUGUGUAAGUAACUGUGCACAUCUUGACGGUACCUAAUCAGAAAGCCACGGCUAACUACGUG